GGAUGAUGACGUAAGUCCAAAGAUUUAUCGCCUGAGGAUGAGCCCGCGUAGGAUUAGCUAGUUGGUGUGGUAAAGGCGCACCAAGGCGACGAUCCUUAGCUGGUCUGAGAGGAUGAUCAGCCACACUGGGACUGAGACACGGCCCAGACUCCUACGGGAGGCAGCAGUGGGGAAUAUUGGACAAUGGGCGAAAGCCUGAUCCAGCAAUGCCGCGUGAGUGAUGAAGGCCUUAGGGUUGUAAAGCUCUUUUACCCGGGAUGAUAAUGACAGUACCGGGAGAAUAAGCUCCGGCUAACUCCGUGCCAGCAGCCGCGGUAAUACGGAGGGAGCUAGCGUUGUUCGGAAUUACUGGGCGUAAAGCGCACGUAGGCGGCUUUGUAAGUUAGAGGUGAAAGCCUGGAGCUCAACUCCAGAAUUGCCUUUGAUACUGCAUGGCUUGAAUCCAGGAGAGGUGAGUGGAAUUCCGAGUGUAGAGGUGAAAUUCGUAGAUAUUCGGAAGAACACCAGUGGCGAAGGCGG
rnacentral:rRNA from 1 species